GACGAACGCUGGCGGCGUGCCUAAUACAUGCAAGUAGAACGCACAGUUUAUACCGUAGCUUGCUACACCAUAGACUGUGAGUUGCGAACGGGUGAGUAACGCGUAGGUAACCUGCCUGGUAGCGGGGGAUAACUAUUGGAAACGAUAGCUAAUACCGCAUAAUAUUGAUUAUUGCAUGAUAAUUAAUUGAAAGGUGCAAUUGCACCACUACCAGAUGGACCUGCGUUGUAUUAGCUAGUAGGUGAGGUAACGGCUCACCUAGGCGACGAUACAUAGCCGACCUGAGAGGGUGAUCGGCCACCCUGGGACUGGGACACGGCCCAGAACCCUACGGGAGGGAGCAGUAGGGAAACUUCGGCAAUGGACGAAAGUCUGACCGAGCAACGCCGCGUGAGUGAAGAAGGUUUUCGGAUCGUAAAGCUCUGUUGUAAGAGAAGAACGGGUGUGAGAGUGGAAAGUUCACACUGUGACGGUAUCUUACCAGAAAGGGACGGCUAACUACGUG
rnacentral:rRNA from 1 species